GGAGUGUGUGACUUCAGCUACGAGACCUCCCUCGGCCGACUCAGUCAGCGCGAGGGACGUGGGGUUCUAAGAAAAACCUCACUGAUGGAGAAAACCACUGCUGACUCAGAGGCAGGUUUAAUUGUGGUCGUCUUUCACCAUGUUCUGGGCAGCUUGUCAACAAACCACACACGUCAAACAAGGAAGCAAAACCAACUGAAGGGCUCUCAAUCAGCUUUCCAGUGUGCAAAAGCUGAAGGUUAAUGGGGGGAAAAGGCUUACAGGAAGUUCAUUAACAAGGGAUAAACAGACACAAGUGAUCUGGAACCAAACCUCUGAGGCAAUCUCUCUGAGGUAUUCCUGUUUAAGGACUCUGCCCAAUCAUUUGCUGACC